CGCGUAGGCGGGCUGACAAGUCUGGGGUGAAAUCCCACGGCUCAACCGUGGAACUGCCUCAGAUACUGUCGGCCUCGAGGAAGGUAGGGGCAUGCGGAACUGUAGGUGGAGCGGUGAAAUGCGUUGAUAUCUACAGGAACUCCGGUGGCGAAAGCGGCGUGCUGGACCUUUUCUGACGCUGAGGCGCGAAAGCUAGGGAGCAAACG
rnacentral:rRNA from 1 species